UUGGUUUUUGGCAUCCUACAGAAAGGUGGUGCGUGCUUGCGCAAGAGCAUUCACUGUGCACUGUUUGCCUUUGCUCUUUCUUCAUCCUCUGUCCCCUUCUCACCUCCAGAUGGUACUGACAGCAGGCAUGUGGUACUCUCAGGAGGGAAAACAGAGGCCAGGGAGGUGAAGCCACUUCUUCAGGGUCAGAUGUUGAACAGCAAGAUGGAGAGCUCAGCCCUGUCUGGGGGGACUCCAUCAUGUGGGGUUGUGGGGAGUCCCCUGAGGGGGGAUGUGGUCUGACAGCAAGGGCUUAAAGCACAGCUCGGAGUCCCUGCCCCUUCCUCUCCUCUACUUGCAACUCGUUUUCUAGACUAUCAAUCACUCACCUCUUUGGGCUAACUCUGCCAGGCUCCUCCCACAGAUCCAGGAACCCAAGUACAAGUCUGUACUCCAGGAACCAUUGCCAAGGAGAUCAUUACUCAUUAACUCUGGGGACUCACUAUAAAGUCUAAGCACGACAUCAACAGCAGCCAGGCACCAAGCAGCUGCAAGGGAUAGCGGGCACCAAGCAGGGUGGGAUUGCUGCUGGAAGUGAGCCUGUGGGCCUGCAUCAGUCAGUCAUCACCCACGAUGGAAGAAAAGCCAACAGAGAAAUACAAAUAGCAGUGGAAGCAGUAAUGUAAACAUCUUACAAGUAAGGUCAAAACUGCUGUAUUGUAUUUAUCAGCUGGAUUAGAGUGAAAAAUGAGAUGUGCUCGGAGUGUUUUUGCAGAUAUCUAGCAGGUCGGUGCUGUGAGCUGCUGGGCUCAAUGCAGCACUAAUGCUUGGUAAGUGGUGAAUUACCCACGUAUUGCCUAGACAUGUGAGCUCAGCUUGGAGUGUUAAAUGGCUGUUGAAGUACUUCCUUAGCAAAGACAGCUACUCCAUUUUUCUCAGUAGCUUUUCCAACCAGCACUCCUUCCUUUCACACCUCCUCUCUGAGGGGCACAGAUGCUGUUGAACAGAUCUAAGCACAGAGUUUUUUCUGUGUCCUAGGAGCUGGCUUAGUCUUUUAUUAAUUUUAUAUAUCUAUGUCUGCACCUCCUUUCCUUCAGAGUAAAGGUCAAAUAUCUGCUAUUCUAACACUACCCAAGUUAAAGUCAUGCUUUUGUUGAACUCAACCAGGGGAGCAGGUAACCUGCAGGGAUUUCUAAGGAAAACUCAUGGAGCUGAAUGCAAAGCUAGAGGUGGCCAUUGGACCUACAUCAUAACUGCCCUGUCUCUGCACUGGAGGUUGCCCUGGGCUUUGGGGAGGCAUCUGUGCCACCCCAGUGUCAUCUGGGACAGUCACCAGCACACAUGCCUGUGUUAAACCAGUGCCUCUGGAGGGUGCUUCUCUCCAGCAUUUUGCCUGGUUGCUCAAGCAGGACAGUUGCAGGAAAAAUAUUUGUUCCUGGUUUCCAUGUGGCAGCAGGAGACCCAAGACAGCCUACUUGGAACAUGAAUGCCUGGAGGCUUAUAAGUCCUGAGUCAGCUUCAAGAAACCAUUCCUUGAUGGCCUUCCAGAUCCAAAGCCUCUGCUUAGCAAGGUACCUCAUCUUACCUAAAAAGAGGAAGUCCAAGAUGAUCAUCACCUGGUUUCCCUGGGUAUCUAGCCAGGAUCAACAAGUUACCAAUCAGGUUAGUUAUGAUAAGGGCAAUAUUGAAUAUCAACAUAGUUCACCUAAACCCCCACUGCAGCUAAAAUCUGCCAGCAAGGAUGAAGAAUAAAUAAGCACAUCAUUAAGCUAAUGAGACCCAUAUGCUUGUGUAGGCAAAUAAAAGUGAGCUAAAUCUAUUGAAGAGCCAAAAAGCAGAUGAAUGAACCAUGACUGACAUCCUGGAAUCAUGUUUAAAAUGCAAAUAUUGAUAUUUCUCACACUUCUUUUCCCUUAUGUAAAUCACAUCUAAAUAAGGCAUCUGGUAGAAGAGAAUGUAUUUCUGCCUUUGAGCUCUUUCUCAAAUGAAUGAAGUAAACCCAAUUUGAGAGAAUACCUACAGACUGCUACAAUUACUGGAGACUGCAGACAGCUGGGGAGUCACAAACAAGACUUGUCAUCGUGGUGGAAGCUGAGCCUGAAAGUAAUUUGUAUCCCAAUCUGCACAAAUUAAUCUGAGAUCUUGUCUCCCAAAAAAGCGAGCCACACCAUUUCCAACCGGGAUGAAACUGCAACUGUUGGGUUUGUGGAAUCCAGAAACAGCUGCAGUCAGAAAGAACUUUAACAUCAGAGAAAUUAUCCUCUUUCUUCCGUUUUGUUUCCAUGUUACUUAUACAGAAGAAGAAAAAGAAGGAAAGAUAAUAAAACCUACCAGCUUUUAUGAGCUUGAUAUUACUUUUUCAGGAAAUGUGUAUCUCAGGGAAGAAUUUUCUUUCCUUUGCUAAAGGUUUGGGCUACUUGUUGCUAUGCACUUGCUCUUCUAGGAGCUGCUGUCCAAGACAUUUAUUGCUUUGCAGGUCUGACAGAUCAGCCCAUCUUUCCUGACCAGUCACGUCAUUUAAUUGGGCAAAUUAUCUCUUAUAUCUAGUGCUGGCAGAAGGCUAUGAGCUUCAGGUUACCCUCCAGGGAAAGCAUGCCAAAAUUUCUCUCUUUCCCUUUGCUAAGUGCCACUUUGAAUCGAUGGAGAUCCUGACUCAAUUAGCGUGGGAUGGACCAGCCCUCCUGCCUGCUAAGAUGCGAGGACAGGGCUUGCUUUUGCCCUGAGUGUGGUUAUUACAGCAUGUGCCCCUGGGUGCUGGUGUUUGUGACUGAGAGCAAAGUGACUGUGAAUUUAGAGCCAAUUCAAAAGGAGGUCAGGGAGGAAACUCUAUGUGGUGGGGGCUGCUUACACUGAGGAAGAGGAUUCUUGGUCAAUGUUACACUCACAUGCUUGCGUAAUGCAUCUUCCCCAGUGACACCCAGGGAUUGCACUGGGAGCUAGAAUGAGCCUAGCAUCAGAUAGUCUUCUUGUGAUACACUGUAUGUAGCAUAGCGUACAUGUAAUACACUGGCUCAUACAGGCAAGUGUGUGAUACUAAAUGUUUGACUCAAUGGCAGUCAGAUGUAUUUUCUUAGCUACUUCCCUCUUCAUAUAUGUAUUUUUGCCUUUUGCUGAUAUUCUUAUUUUUCUGGCUGCCAUUUCAGGGAGCAGAAAGAAGAAAUAUACCAUUUUCCUUGGCUUCCUUUUGGACUAUCUUCCUGAAAGCAAAAAACCUGUGAAUAUUCAUCACUUUUAGUUUAAUUCAUAGUGCAUUCUCAGAUGGAAGGCUCAAGUAAUUAGCAGGUCCGCUGUUCUGGGAUUUGACAGCAUUGCAACAUCUCCAACUAGAAGCCUGUCAAAGAGCCUCCUGACAAAAGCUUUGUUGUGGUCCAUGUUACAUCUACAACGUCACUGAAAUAUAACCUAGCUGUUGUGACUAGAGAGGUGCACUGAGUCAGUGCCUUGCAUAGGCUGAAGCAUCGCUUUAGCAUUUGAAGGUAAAGGUCUACACAAAAUGAAAGACAACACGAGCUCAGGCUUCCACGGGGUUUUAAGCUCUUGGUACUAAGGAUGCAUUUACAUCUCAAGCAGACUCCUGGUAACUGCGGACAAACUUGACUCUAUUCACAGCUCUCACCCACUCCUCAAGCCCACGCACGCUUCCCGCACAGCGCCUUGCGCACAGAUAUGUCUCAUUAAGAAGUGAGUUGAUUAUCUUUUCC